rnacentral:rRNA from 1 species
CAGUAGCCGCGGUAAUACGUAGGGUGCGAGCGUUAAUCGGAAUUACUGGGCGUAAAGCGAGCGCAGACGGUUAUUUAAGCAGGAUGUGAAAUCCCCGGGCUUAACCUGGGAACUGCGUUCUGAACUGGAUAGCUAGAGUGUGUCAGAGGGGGGUAGAAUUCCACGUGUAGCAGUGAAAUGCGUAGAGAUGUGGAGGAAUACCGAUGGCGAAGGCAGCCCCCUGGGAUAACACUGACGUUCAUGCUCGAAAGCGUGGGUAGCAAACAGGAUUAGAUACCCGCGUAGUCCCUGUCUCUUAUAC